UACAAAACGAACUGGGAAAGAGAGACAGGAAACACAGGGAUGAAUACACUGGGGAAAUCAAGCGACACCUGAAGGGAGUGGAGACAAUAACAGGUGAAACAGAUCAGGAUGUGACAGAGGAAAAAAAUGCAUUUGCAAUUUGGCCCCAGAGUCAGUGAAACGAUUGCUUCAUACCCAUGUAAAUAGAGAUACAGGAUUACAUAAUUGGGAGAAAGAAAUCCAACAUAGGUUUUCUCUUGAUUAAUGCUAUGUUUACUUGCUUUGGGAGUUAGGAGGUGAAAUCACAUUUUUUUGGCAGAAGGAAGUCGUGCAUGAUUGUGGUGAUUGUUCGAUGUGUUUUCUCAAAAAGCCACGGGAUGGAACUGCCUUUUGAACAAUGAAAACAGUUAAGCUGUUUCCAAAACAAAAACUCAGAGAGAGGUAGAGAGAGAGAGAUGGAGAGGUAGAGAGAGAGAGAUGGAGAGGUAGAGAGAGAGAGAUGGAGAGGUAGAGAGAGAGAGAGGGAGAGGUAGAGAGAGAGAUGGAGAGGUAGAGAGAGAGAGACGGAGAGGUAGAGAGGUAGAGAGUUUCCAGCUUGUUCAUAUAUACAAUGUGUAGCCAAACUGCAAGUCACUUGUCUGAACCCCCUUACUACAAGUGCUUGCAGAAUUUAGCUUGAAGGAAAGCCAUAAACC
ensembl:lncRNA